GGGCGAGUGGCGGAAUUGGUAUACGCGACGGACUUAAAAUCCGUUGGCAGAAAUGCCUUGAGGGUUCAAGUCCCUCCUCGCCCACCA
rnacentral:tRNA from 2 species